UCGCACCUACCGAUUGGAUGACUCGGUGAAAAAUUGGGACCGUGAAUCUGUUUGCUUCAUUGCGAAUGAAUUCGUGGGAACUCUUUUUAACCUCGCCAUCUAGAGGAAGGUG
rnacentral:rRNA from 1 species